rnacentral:rRNA from 1 species
UACGUAGGGUGCGAGCGUUAAUCGGAAUUACUGGGCGUAAAGCGUGCGCAGGCGGUCUGUUAAGACAGAUGUGAAAUCCCCGGGCUUAACCUGGGAACUGCAUUUGUGACUGGCAGGCUAGAGUAUGGCAGAGGGGGGUAGAACUCCACGUGUAGCAGUGAAAUGCGUAGAGAUGUGGAGGAAUACCGAUGGCGAAGGCAGCCCCUGGCCAAUACUGACGCUCAUGCACGAAAGCGUGGGGAGCAAACAGG